UACGUAGGGUGCGAGCGUUAAUCGGAAUUACUGGGCGUAAAGGGUGCGCAGGCGGUUCUGCAAGUCAGGCGUGAAAUCCCCGGGCUUAACCUGGGAAUGGCGCUUGAAACUACGGAACUGGAGUAUGGCAGAGGGAGGUGGAAUUCCACGUGUAGCAGUGAAAUGCGUAGAUAUGUGGAGGAACACCGAUGGCGGAAGGCAGCCCCCUGGGUUAACACUGACGCUCAUGCACGAAAGCGUGGGGAGCAAACAGG
rnacentral:rRNA from 1 species